rnacentral:ncRNA from 2 species
CCUGUCCUUCGCGGGAGUCCGGCGCACCGGGCUGAGAGGGGGCUGACGCGGCCCCGACCGUUGCCACUUGAUCCGGGUCAUGCCGGCGCAAGGAGAAGCCCAGCGGUGUCG